rnacentral:tRNA from 1 species
GUGGCGGUAGCUCAGUUGGUAGAGCAGGGGACUGAAAAUCCCCGUGUCGGUGGUUCGAUUCCACCCCGUCACACCA